rnacentral:tRNA from 1 species
GUGGGUAUAGCUUAGUGGUAGAGCGCAUGCCUGGCAUGCACGGCAUGCACGAGGUCCUGGGUUCAAUCCUCAGUACCUCCU